rnacentral:rRNA from 1 species
CUACGGGAGGCAGCAGUGGGGAAUAUUGCGCAAUGGGGGCAACCCUGAUCUAGCCAUGCCGCGUGAGUGAUGAAGGCCUUAGGGUUGUAAAGCUCUUUCAGCUGGGAAGAUAAUGACGGUACCAGCAGAAGAAGCCCCGGCUAACUCCGUGCCAGCAGCCGCGGUAAUACGGAGGGGGCUAGCGUUGUUCGGAAUUACUGGGCGUAAAGCGCGCGUAGGCGGAUUGGAAAGUCAGAGGUGAAAUUCCAGGGCUCAACCUUGGAACUGCCUUUGAAACUACCCGUCUGGAGUUCGAGAGAGGUGAGUGGAAUUCCGAGUGUAGAGGUGAAAUUCGUAGAUAUUCGGAGGAACACCAGUGGCGAGGGCGGCUCACUGGCUCGAUACUGACGCUGGGGUGCGAAAGCGUGGGGAGCAAACAGGAUUAGAUACCCCUGUAGUCC